GCAUAUCAAUAAGCGGAGGAAAAGAAACUAACAAGGAUUCCCCUAGUAGCGGCGAGCGAAGCGGGAAGAGCUCAAAUUUAUAAUCUGGCACCUUCGGUGUCCGAGUUGUAAUCUCUAGAAAUGUUUUCCGCGCUGGACCGCACACAAGUCUGUUGGAAUACAGCGGCAUAGUGGUGAGACCCCCGUAUAUGGUGCGGACGCCCAGCGCUUUGUGAUACAUUUUCGAAGAGUCGAGUUGUUUGGGAAUGCAGCUCAAAUUGGGUGGUAAAUUCCAUCUAAAGCUAAAUAUUGGCGAGAGACCGAUAGCGAACAAGUACCGUGAGGGAAAGAUGAAAAGCACUUUGGAAAGAGAGUUAACAGUACGUGAAAUUGUUGGAAGGGAAACGCUUGAAGUCAGACUUGCUUGCCGAGCAAUCGGUUUGCAGGCCAGCAUCAGUUUUCCGGGAUGGAUAAUGGUAGAGAGAAGGUAGCAGUUUCGGCUGUGUUAUAGCUCUCUGCUGGAUACAUCUUGGGGGACUGAGGAACGCAGUGUGCCUUUGGCGGGGGUUUCGACCUCUUCACACUUAGGAUGCUGGUGGAAUGGCUUUAAACGACCCGUCUUGAAACACGGACC
rnacentral:rRNA from 5 species